rnacentral:rRNA from 1 species
UACGGAGGGGGCCAGCGUUGUUCGGAAUUAUUGGGCGUAAAGGGCGCGUAGGCGGCCUGGUAAGUCGGGGGUGAAACGCGUGCGGCUCAACCGCAGCACUGCCUUCGAGACUGCCUGGCUUGAGCACGGUAGAGGCUGGUGGAAUUCCCGGUGUAGCGGUGGAAUGCGUAGAGAUCGGGAAGAACAUCGGUGGCGAAGGCGGCCAGCUGGGCCGUUG